AACUCAUUUGUGCAACUUUCAUGCAUUGUUUUUUCUAAUACGUUAUCUUAUUUUUUUUUGUUGUUACUUUUUUAAAAUUGAGCUAUAGCUGUAGAGUAUGAGUAAGUUAUAGGUAUACAAUAUAGUGGUUUACAAUUGUAAAGGUUAUAUUUCAUUUAUAGCUAUUAUUGUCUAUAUGUUGCUAAUAGUUCCUUAGUUGUACAAUAUAUCCUUGUAGUUUAUUUUUAUGCACAGUUGUCUGUACCUCUUAAUCGCGUACUCCUGUAUCGCCUCUCCUGCCUUCCCUCUCCCCACUGGUAACCACUAGUUUGUUCCCUACAUCCGUGAGUCUGCUUCUUUUUUGUUAUAUUCACUAGUUCGUUAUGUUUUUUUAGAUUCCACAGGUAAGUGAUAUCAUACAGUACUGGUCUUUCUCUGUCUCGUGUACUGUUUUUUCAGAAGCUUCUUUACUAAACAACUGUGUGAAGUGUUGGAAAUUUUCAAAUUUUCCACCUAAUUUCCACUAGUAUUCACAUAAUUCCAUUUCACUCAUCAAUCUACAUUUUUUCCAACAUGCUUAGGAUUCUAUCAGUGUCUGCUUUUGAGACAUGACUUGAUGCAGUGUUGAAACAUUUUCAGUAAUUGCCAACUCAAAAAUGACAAAUACUGCAUGAAUAAUAGAGUAAAUGAGCUAUUCUUGCCAUCAUGGGCCUACAAUAGAGGGAAUUGCUUAGUCCACAUACCAAUUAUGUUUCUACGUUCAUAAGAUAUUUUUGUAAUCAAAAAAUUAAACUAUGAAAAAUAUACACCUAUUUCUUUUCCAGCCCUUCCUGAAUGAGAAUGCAUUUGGGCUCUCUGCCCAGUUCUGAUCUGUAAGCUGCCUCCUCAGUUCCUCAACUCCAUGUAGCCCGGAUCCUACCCCAGCUUCCAGGCCUUCUACUCACCCCUGGGGGAAAAUGAGAGGAAACAGGAGAGAGAGUGCCGGUCUGCCUCACCUGAGAACAUUGGGAAUAAAAGAUACACAGUGUGUGGCCUGACUGCUGGUAGAAGUGGGACAGUUUCCGCAACAGACACUGGCAAUGCUACGUCUCAGGCCAAGGGAAGGUCCUGCCAAGGUGAGAAAAUAUAUAGC
ensembl:lncRNA